rnacentral:rRNA from 1 species
GGCCUUCGGGCGACCGUGUGCUGUGGUGGGCCGUAUCUAGGUACGUUUUUCCACAGCAUGUUCUCUGCCGG